CAGCCGCCGCGGUAAUGCGUAGGUCCCGAGCGUCGUCCGGAUUUAUUGGGCGUAAAGGGAGCGCAGGCGGUUUAGUAAGUCUGAAGUUAAAGGCAUUGGCUCAACCAAUGUAUGCUUUGGAAACUGUUAGACUUGAGUGCAGAAGGGGAGAGUGGAAUUCCAUGUGUAGCGGUGAAAUGCGUAGAUAUAUGGAGGAACACCGGUGGCGAAAGCGGCUCUCUGGUCUGUCACUGACGCUGAGGCUCGAAAGCGUGGGUAGCGAACAGGAUUAGAUACCCCCGUAGUCCCUGUCUCUUAUACA
rnacentral:rRNA from 1 species